UAUUCCUUCCUGAUCCUCCAUGUGUACGUGCACUAACGUGAACGGGACCACAACAUUGAAAAAUUCUGUGUUUAUUUCUCAGAUAAUAACAUUUUGUGAACAAUUUGCUUCGCUACUGUUACUCUACAGAUAUCCCUGAAUUUUUAAAAUCUUAAAUCUUUGAUUUUAGAUCUCCUUAAAACGAGAACCUUCAACCGCAAAGUUGAUUGGAUCGAAAACUGAGAAAGGAACACGGGAACGAUCAAACUAGGCUGAGGAAGCCGCCAAACAAUGGCGUACUACGGUCGUGGCGGCGGCGGAGGGUCGCGCCACAGCGACACACCGACUGAUGGCCGAAUAUAUGUCGGGAAUUUACCCCCCGAUAUCAGAGAAAGAGACAUCGAGGAUUUGUUUUUCAAGUACGGCAGAAUAUUGCAUAUUGACCUGAAGAUGCCCAAGGUCGGGCCGCCGUUCGCUUUCGUCGAAUUUGACGAUAAAAGGGAUGCAGAAGAUGCCAUUCACUUCAGGAAUGGCUACGAUUACGAUCGCUACACAUUACGAGUGGAGUGCCCACGAAGUAGCGGUGCUCGUGGGAGCUUCAGUGGAGGCAGCAGUGGCGGUGGUGGUGGAAGAAGAGGGGGACCCCCACCCAGGAGAUCCAAGUACAGGUGUAUUGUGUCAGGACUACCUUCCACUGGCAGUUGGCAAGACUUGAAGGACCACAUGCGCGAGGCUGGCGACGUCUGCUACGCGGAUGUACACAGAGACUGCACUGGUGUUGUGGAGUAUGUGACCGAGGACGACAUGCGUUAUGCCUGCAAGACCCUGGAUGACAGCAAGUUCUGCUCACAUGAGGGUGACACAUGCUACAUUCGUGUGAAAGCAGACUACAAGGGUGGCCGCAGUCGAUCCCGUAGCCGAUCCCCCCGACGCUACAGCCCAAAGCGCAGUCCCCGACGUUCCUCCUACAGCCCCAAGCGGUCGCGUCGCUCCUACUCGCGCUCACGCUCUCGAUCCAGGGGGCGCGACAGCCGCUCCCGAUCCCGUUAAAACUUGUCCGAGCAACGAGACGAGAGUAGAUCCAGAACACACCUGAUGCAGUUGCCAUUUGCGCGGAGAUGCGGACCCUCGUUUUCACAAGGACUAAGGAAACCAAGUGUCGUAAGGACUAAGGACGGACUUACUGAAACUCGGAUUCCUUAGGAUAAGCACUGGAAUCGAGGAGUACAGGAAAAAAGGAUAAGAAAAAAAAAGCAAAACUCGGAAAAAAAUCAUGACGAAACUGGAAAAGAAGGCUCAGAUUUUGGAGCAGCUUUUUUUGGAUUUUUCUUUUUUGGAACAAUGGAUUUCAGACGGGGAUUUGGAUCAAACUUGGAAAGUGAUCAGGAUUUUUCCACAGGAUGGAUAGUUUUGGACGAAAGCGUGGAUGGAUAUGAUGGUAUGAGAUUUAACUGUCGGUGUUGUUUGGGCAUGUUUGAAUCGUGUUUAGUUAACCUUUCAAAAAUGUUUGGGUACAUGUACAUGUACAUCCUUGGAACUUGGCUAUAUGAAUGAAAAGAAAUCCCCCUUUUUUCAGGGGCACUUUUCUGAACAAAAUCCAAUGUGUGUGGAUUGUACAAGUGGCAUAAUGGCCUCUUGAUAGUUCCAGAGUGAAAACUUGACCCUUGUGAACUAUUUGUAUUUUGCUCAUUUAAAGUUCUUUCAUUCAAUGUGAUUUUUUUUUAUACAGGUGUGUUUUGUUUUUGAAUUUUUGAUUCAAACAUGCCCUCUCCAAUUUUAAUGUGUAUUUCUUAUUCAAUUUUUUUUUAAAUCACGUAAUGUAUUGCAGUGUAAGUGACCGAUGUAUAUAUAUAUCAAUUCUGCUUUUAGAUUGCAUGCUUGGCGACGUUUGUGGUUUGGUUUUUAGUGAUGACUGUCUUGUAUGCUUUAACUAAUGACAUUGUGUGCAACACACAGCCGGCACAGAAUUUCCCGGAAUUAGCAAAUGUUUUAUUACAAUGAAUUCAUGGUGAUCAUGACGGGAGUGAUUAAUAUUUUUACCCCAUUAAUAUGCUUUCUGUUUUAAGAACAAAAAAA
rnacentral:misc_RNA from 1 species